rnacentral:rRNA from 1 species
AUACGGAGGAUCCGAGCGUUAUCCGGAUUUAUUGGGUUUAAAGGGUGCGCAGGCGGCCAUUUAAGUCAGCGGUUAAAUCGUGGGGCUCAACCCCAUUCUGCCGUUGAUACUGGGUGGCUUGAUUGCGGUCGAGGUUGGCGGAAUUCGUUGUGUAGCGGGGUAAUGCAUAGAUAUGACGAAGAACACCGAUUGCGUAGGCAGCUGACCAGAACGCAAAUGACGCUCAUGCACGAAAGUGCGGGGAUCGAACAGGAUUAGAUACCCUGGUAGUCCGCACAGUAAACGAUGAAUACUUGUUUUCGGCGAUAUAAUGUCGGAGGCAAAGCGAAAGCGAUAAGUAUUCCACCUGGGGAGUACGCCGGCAACGGUGAAACUCAAAUGAAUUGACGGGG